UACGGAGGGGGCUAGCGUUGUUCGGAAUUACUGGGCGUAAAGCGCACGUAGGCGGAUAUUUAAGUCAGGGGUGAAAUCCCGGGGCUCAACCCCGGAACUGCCUUUGAUACUGGGUAUCUGGAGGUCGAGAGAGGCGAGUGGAAUUCCGAGUGUAGAGGUGAAAUUCGUAGAUAUCUGGAGGAACAUCGGUGGCGAAGGCGGCAUCCUGGACCGGUAUUGACGCUGAGGCGCGAAAGCCAGGGGAGCAAACGGG
rnacentral:rRNA from 1 species